UACCGGAUAACAACACUAGACGCAUGUCUAGAGUUUAAAAGAUGGUUCUGCUAUCACUCUUGGAUGGACCUGCGGUGCAUUAGCUAGUUGGUAAGGUAACGGCUUACCAAGGCAAUGAUGCAUAGCCGAGUUGAGAGACUGAUCGGCCACAUUGGGACUGAGACACGGCCCAAACUCCUACGGGAGGCAGCAGUAGGGAAUCUUCCACAAUGGACGCAAGUCUGAUGGAGCAACGCCGCGUGAGUGAAGAAGGGUUUCGGCUCGUAAAGCUCUGUUGGUAGUGAAGAAAGAUAGAGGUAGUAACUGGCCUUUAUUUGACGGUAAUUACCUAGAAAGUCACGGCUAACUACGUGCCAGCAGCCGCGGUAAUACGUAGGUGGCAAGCGUUGUCCGGAUUUAUUGGGCGUAAAGCGAGUGCAGGCGGUUCAAUAAGUCUGAUGUGAAAGCCUUCGGCUCAACCGGAGAAUUGCAUCAGAAACUGUUGAACUUGAGUGCAGAAGAGGAGAGUGGAACUCCAUGUGUAGCGGUGGAAUGCGUAGAUAUAUGGAAGAACACCAGUGGCGAAGGCGGCUCUCUGGUCUGCAACUGACGCUGAGGCUCGAAAGCAUGGGUAGCGAACAGGAUUAGAUACCCUGGUAGUCCAUGCCGUAAACGAU
rnacentral:rRNA from 1 species